rnacentral:tRNA from 1 species
GGAGGGGUGCCAGAGUGGUUGAAUGGAGCGGUCUUGAAAACCGCCGUACUCGUAAGGGUACCGGGGGUUCGAAUCCCUCCCCCUCCG